rnacentral:rRNA from 1 species
CAUGCCCCUUAUGAAAAAAACUACACACGUGCUUCAAUGGUCGGUACAACAGGCAGCGAAAGGGUAACCUGGAGCGAAUCCUCUAAAGCCGAUCUCAGUUCGGAUUGUGGGCUGCAACUCGCCCACAUGAAGUUGGAGUUGCUAGUAAUCGUGAAUCAGAAUGUCGCGGUGAAUGCAUUCCCGGGUCUUGUACACACCGCCCGUCACACCAUGGAAGUUGGGGGCGCCCGAAGCCAGUGAUCCAACCGCAAGGAGGAAGCUGUUUAAAGUGAAACCAAUGACUAGGGUGAAGUUGCUCGAGGUAACAG